CCGAAACCGGAAAUGAAGGAACUUGCUAGAAUCAAACUAUAACUCACACAAAUUACAAUCGGAAGUGAAGCAAAUCGCCGCCGAAAGUGAAGGAAAUUGCUGGAAUUCAAGAAACGCUAGAAGUGAAGAAACUCCUACACGUGUAUAUGGGGUGAUGGGAGAUGUUUUUGGGCGAUGUUGGGCGAAAUAUUUUUUUUUGUUUGUUUAGUUUUGAGAAUUUAUGGAUAUUUUAGUUUAAG
rnacentral:lncRNA from 1 species